ACUACUUUAGCUCAGUUGGUAGAGCGGAGGACUGUAGGGGAAGAAAUACCUGAUUGUCAUCCUUAUGUCGCUAGUUCGAAUCCGGAAAGUCGGA
rnacentral:tRNA from 1 species